rnacentral:lncRNA from 1 species
UUUAAUGGGUUAACUAGAAAACUAUACAUUCAAAGUCAAAAUAAGCUUUAUUCUCAAAGGAUAUUAUAUCUUGUUGAUAAAACAAUAUACAAGACAAUAUUUUACAUAUCAACAUAAAACAUGGAAUUUAUACCAAGGUAGACUGCUUCUUGGGUUUUAUUAGUGAAGCCUUGUCUAAAUAUAACUCUACUGAGCAUUACGGUUACGAUGAAUAUCAAUAUGGUAAAACAGCACUCGCAAACCAUAACCAUAUAAUAAUGUAUUUUUUCUGUUAUAUAUUUUACUUUACAGCCUAAGAAGAGAAAUAUAUAAUACGCACAUAUUAGAUAUUACAGAUUAACUAUUAUAAAAUUAAAAUAAAGGGUGUUUCAAUAAGAGCGCAAGUUUUCAGUGAUUUAGAAAAUUACAUUUGGGAAUUAUGCAUGAAACAAAAUAUCUAGUAAAGGAGCGCCACGGCUUUGUUGGCAUAUGCGUAACGUUUUGACGAAAUUUUCAUUUACGUCAUUGUAUAUAUGUGGUGAUAUUUCAAUAAUACAGAGUCUAAUUUCGAUUUUCAAUGCUUUGAUUGUUGCAGGCUAUGACUUGAGAUAACCCCAUAGCCAGAAGUCUAAAGGCAAGGCAAAAACAAAAAAUGUUUAACAAACAAAUCUUAUACUUCAAUUAUCAGAGUAGUUAGAAAUAUGCGAUACGUUAAUAAUUGCAAAUUAAAUUAAAUAUAACAAUUGUAAUUGGCUGCAUGGUUAAAUGCCACAUGCCACCAAAAAAAAAAACUUAUACUUAGCGUCUAACUGAACAAAAUAAAGUGAUACUAAAAGUAAUAUGAUCAAUUUAAAUAGGGACAGAUCAUUUACGCUGUGAUAAGCCUUAUCAGAGAAAAACCGCUUUCUAUCUUUCUUCUAAACAGUUUUAGGGAGGCAAAUGAUUAUAAAUCUUAAUGCUUCCGUAAAUUAUAGACUUCUUAACUAAUGCUGUGUGAGGUGGGUUAAAUUAAGUCCAAAAUAUUUCGAGUAUUGUAGGUGGUAUUAUAAGAACUCAUGUUUGGUGAUUUUUAUGAAUCAAAAUAACAGGUUCCAACCUUUCCAGGAUAAAUAAACUAUAAACAGUGAAUGUUUUUUCCUUUAUAAAACGUGGUCUGCUUUUCAGAUUUUACCGGUAAUAUUUUUGGUCAAUUUUCCAAUAAUAAAUUGUACUAUCUAACAAUUUUUGUUAGAAGUUGAAGAAGUAGUCCAUUCUUGCAGUGGAGUUAAUAGACCAAUGGGUAACUAAAGAUACUUCGGUCAUCGGAAUGUCCAAAACAUCCUACAUGUUUCGAAUAUAUAACAUCAGGGAUAACAAAUUAAGGAGUUCCGUCAAUAAAUCUUACAGAUCUAGUGCUUCAGAGACAAGGCUAAAACAAAUUAAGAUACAUGAGAAUGAGACCAAACAUCGAUUUACAAAAACUUUAAAAUAACAUUAUUACGAUAAUCGUUUUGUAAUUAAGAACUGAGAACAAAAGAACCAUAUAAAUGUUCAAACAAUAGCUAUUGUUUAUUAAUCUUAAUUAAUCUUUUUUUACUUAAUUGUACAAUAUACUCUCGUUUAAUUUUGGAGCGAAAUGGUUUUAUUUGGAAUAUCAUUUAUAACUGUAUGAUUGAUGUCACUAUACUAUUAAGGAUCUGAGUGUUCUAUUAGAUAGCAGGUUAACCUUUGUUGACCACAUCAAUAGUAAAUCUGUAAGAAGUCAAAGUCAAAAAGCUUUAUUUUUAACUAACAAAAUAAUGUUGUGUACAAAGCCUUAAAUCUUAACUUCUAAUCAAUAUAUUAAGCAUAUUCACUAUUCUUUUACUUUUAGGUUGCAUAUAAAUUAUAGUCUUUCAAUUGAUCAAACCUUGGUAUAGGUAAAGGAAGCAAAAAAAUCUGUCUUGUGUUAUAUGGCUGAGUAAAAUACAGAUGCUCUCUGAAAUAUGCCAGCGAGUAUGGCACUGCCAAUAUCAGGUUGAGUGAUAUAAUAUGAAGAGCAUAGCAGCCAGAAGAGUUUCCUGUUUAACUGAAUUAUGUGGUUUUUAAAUUUUAAGGAAUCAGCAAUGUACGGCCCAGGAACUUUGCAGUACAUAAACGAAACAAUGUUUUAUUGUUCAAAGAACUGUCACCUAGAUCGCAUGUAAAUUUCAAAAUAUUGGUUUUGGAAAUAUAGAGCCUGAGACUUUUAGAAUUAUACUAUUCCUCCAGAUACUGCAUAUCGCGAACAAUUGCACACUUCAACCUUUGAGGAUUAUCUGCAAAAACUGUGAGAUGUCCACUAAUAUUCAAUCUAGGCAAAUCGUUAAUACACAUUAAGACUAAGAGAGAAACGUAAGAGAUGAUGGUGGCUUAGACAAUCACGUAGUACUUAGAAAUACUAAUCAAAUACCAAAAGACGUCAGUUGAACCAAAAAAUAAAAAGAAAAGAGUCCCACUUUUUGGAAAAAAAAUUUUCGCAGAGACAAUAAGAAUUCGGGGCUUCCAUAUAUAAACUCAAAAGGAAAUCACGUUCCAGGCAAGUUCUUAGGUGAACCAUGCAACAAUUCUUGCAGGAUUAAAUGCAAAACUCGUAUUAGCCAGUAAGAAAGGAUAAAUAUUUUUACAUCAUUUUGGAAUCUUGCAAAUGUUGAUAGGCAACGAGAUUUCCUAAAUAAUUUAAUAGAGGUUAUGGAUUGUAAAAGAAGAACAACUGGCACUAACAACUUAAGAAGAUCCAAAUCUAUGAAAUUUUAUCUGUGCAUUAAGGAUUCUACAAUAAAUGUAUGUAGAACAAUGCUACUUAAUACCCUUGGUGUUAAAAACGGAUUUCUGAAUUUUGCCAUUAAAAAACGUGUCCCAAAUAGUAACACCACAGAAAAAGAUAAGAGAGGCGGUUAUGGUACCUCUAAAAUAUCAGAAGAUGCAGUAAAUUUUUUAAAACAACAUAUUCAGAAAUUUCCUACAGUCUCUUCUCAUUACUGCAGAAAAGUCUCAAAAAAAAUGUACUUGGAUCCAAAAUUGAACCUAAAGCAGAUGCACAUGUUAUACCAAGAAGAUUGUGCCAAAGAAAAUAUAGAAUCUUUAAAGGAGUCAUUCUAUCGCCAUAUUUUUAAUUCUCAUUUUAAUCUAUCAUUCCAUAAGCCUCGAAAGGAUUAAUGUCUAACAUGUACAGCGUAUGAAUCUGCUAACACGGAAAUCAAAGUAAAUUUGCUGCAAAACUAUGAAGAUCACAUUAAAAAUAAAGAAAGAGCCAGACAGGAAAAAAAUUUGGAUAAGGAUGCAGCAAAGGAAAAUCCUAAAGAAAUACAUUCCGCCAACUUUGAUUUGCAACAAGUAUUGUAUGUGCCAACAGAUCCCACUAACCCCAUUCUUUUUUACAAGACGAAGUUAGCCACAUACAAUUUCACUAUUUUUAACUGUGGAGAUAAUUCUGGAAAAUGCUACAUGUGGUCUGAAGUAGAAGGUCCAUGUGUCUUUCUACAUCCAUUCAAAAUGUAAGGGUCUUUAGUGACACAUGUGGAGACCAAAAUAAAAAUCAAUUUGUUGCCGCUAUGUUUAUUUAUGCCGUACAAGUUUUACCGAUAUAGAGGUCAUUGACCAAAAAUUCCUGGUUUCAGGACACAGCCAAAUGGAAUGCGAUUCAAUGCACGCAAGAAUUGAAAUUGCAUCAAAAAAUGUCCCAGUUUAUUUGCCGCAUGAAUGGGUAACCAUUGCUCUGAAUGCAAAAAAAAUGACCCUAAGUACGAAGUUUUUCAAAAAAAAGACUUCACCACACAGAGGAAGACGAGUGACAGUUGCUUCCAUGGAAAAUUGUCUCAAACCCUUACACGAGAAAAAGAGGAAAAUUUCAGCAUUAAAGCUGAAACAUUUAAAAGAAAUUUGCAAUUCUGGAAGUGUUCCAGAUGACUGCCGGCUCUUUUUUACAAGUUUGCUAAGUAGUGACGAAACCAUUGAUGAGGAUGAAAAGGUGGUUCCAGAUGUAAAUGACCCUGAGGGCGGAGACUUUUUCUUACAAUAAUGUUAUUAAUAAUUAUUUGUAUCUUUCAUUAUUAUAUUUAGAAUUAGUUCUUUAAGUUUAUAGCUUUUCGGAUCACUACAACUUUGACAAAGUAUUAUGUGCUAAAUAUGGCUAUCUGAAUUUUUCCUGUUUAAAUUAGUUACUAUUUAUGUUUUUCGAAAAUCUAGGUCAUUAUAAGAAUUUUUUAAAAAUUUUAUUCAAAUA